AUGCACAUCUUCAUUGAGUCGCUCACUGCGCAUAUGUGUGUGUUGUGUUCGUGCGUGCGUGGCCGCGACCAUGCUUCACAUUUCGGUGUUGUCUAUGUGUGGUCGUGCGGGCGUCUCACCUCAAACACAUCCCAGGCCGGUGCACGAGUUGCUGAGGAAACGCCCAAGGUUGUGGCCACUCGACCACAACUUCGUCUCCUGGAAGGUGUCGGAUGUGGACAGCCAGAACGAGUUCAAGUCUAUGUGGUUCAUCGAGGAGAAAAAGAAGAGGAACUCAACUUGUUUCUCUGUGGACAAGGCCAGAAGAAAUUGUGCUCUGAACAUGCUUGUUGA
rnacentral:rRNA from 1 species